rnacentral:rRNA from 1 species
AUGGGCUUUAUUAGGUCACCUGCACCUCACACUCCAGUCCACUACUCCACAUCGUGCCUGCUGCUCCACUCCACCCUAAGCCGCCGCCGCCGCCGCCGCCGCCGAUCUGCGGUGGUGGGGCCGAUGGACGGCGACAACCUGCUCCGUCGCUCGCAGCCGGCGGGGCCGCUGGACGACGGCAACCUGCUUGCGGAGAUCCUCCUCCGCCUUCCCCCGCAGCCCUCAUCCCUGCCCCGCGCAUCCCUCGUCUGCCACCGCUGGCGCCACCUCGUCUCCGACAACGGCUUCCUCCGCCGCUUCCGCCUCCACCACCGACGCAACCCUCCCCUCCUCGGCUGCUUCAGUGAACGCCGCCUAGAGUUAUCUUUCAUGCCUAUGCUUGAGGCCCCCAAUCGCAUCCCCGCCGGGCGCUUCUCCUUGCAGCUCGACGACAUCAGACCAGCACCUGCUGCACAAGGGGGCGGAUUAGUUAUGCCUGACAAAGGUUUCAGCGUCCUCGGAUGUCGCCAUGGCCUGGUCCUAAUCUCCAUUCCAUCGUGGAAUCAGGUCCUGAUCUGGGACCCCGUCACCGGCGACCAGCACCGGAUUGCCCUUCCCCUGGGGUUCGAUGCAAAGAAAACCUAUAUCACCGGGGCGGUGCUCCGGUCCGCUGCCGGAGACGUCCACCACUUCCAGGUAGUCGUGGUAUGCAACGACAUUCAACAUACACGAGUGGUUGCCUGUGUCUACUCGUCGGAGACAGAUGAAUGGGGCAUGGGCAUUUGCGGUGGACAUGGUGGAGCUGAACAUCUGCACAACGCAUAA